GCGAAGACGCGCGCGUGACGAUGAGCCCCGUGUGAUCGCGACAAGGUCCGGUUCCGGUCACGUUUCGCAAAACAUUUCCGGUCCGAUAAUACGGCGGUAUUGAGGAAAGACGACGAAACGACGACAAUAAAACAAAAAAACAAAAAUACAAAUAAACAAAGAAACAAAAAAAAAAAAGAAACAACAAGAACGAGAAACAGCAUCAACGACGCUGAACACGCAUAAUAAUAACAAUAAUAUUAAAAACACUCGCUGAGGCGGGGGCCCAAUCUGGAUUCAAAAAAGCUCUCCCACCUACCCCUACUCGCGGUCGAGGGAUGCUCGCCUGCUGCUUAUUAAUUGCCGCAGGGGCGGCGGCGGCGGCGACUUUGGUCGGUGGCUUUGACGCUCAUCUUCGAGGACCGAGUUUCCUCAUCGAGCCCCAGUCAAGAAUUGAAUUCUCAAACUCAAGUGGUGCCUGGCUCGACUGCGCAGCGUCCGGAAGUCCGCUACCAAACAUCGAUUGGGUUACAGCCGACGGACUUCCCGCCAGUGACGUUCCCGGUGUCCGCAGGGUACUCAGGAAUGGCACCCUCGUUCUACUUCCGUUUCCGGCCGCGGCCUACAGGCAGGAUGUACACAGCACCGCCUAUAGGUGUGUCGCCAGCAACACCGUUGGCAGAGUCUUGACCCGAGACGUUCAAGUCAGAGCCGUCGUCGCCCAGGCCUACAAGGUAGACGUCGAAGUAAUGGGCGGUGCUUCCAGAGGAUGUACAGCUGUUCUACGCUGCGUUAUCCCGAGCUUUGUUAAGGACUUGGUUCGCGUUGUCUCCUGGCUCCAGGAACCCUCCUUCUAUAUCUACCCUUCGCUCCAAGGAGAUGGGAAAUUCCACUUACUACCGACCGGUGAACUCUUGGUUCACGGCCUCGAAUUCAGCGAUCAAUUUCUUCGCUACAGAUGCCGGACGAUGCAUCGACUCACUCGACAAGUCGUCGUCAGCUCCGUGGCCAACGUACGAAUGGCGGAUCACAGAGGUGUGGUGCCCCCGGUGAUUUUGGAACAUUCGGGGAUCGUCCACGUGGCGCAGGACGAGUCUGCCUCUUUAGUUUGCGUGGCGCAGGCCUGCCCAUCCCCUGAAUACAGAUGGUUUUCCCAAACCGGAGGAGAGCCGAUGCUCGUGCUUCCCGGUCCUCGGACUCGGAUUUUGGGUCCGGUUUUGGCGAUCGAAGCUGUAACUGCAGAAGACAGCGGAGUGUACAGAUGUUCGGCAGCGAAUCCCGGAGGCGAGGCGAGCGCGGAACUUAGACUGACUGUGACGGCUCCGCUACACGUCGAAGUCACUCCUCCGCUGCUGAGCGUUCACCUAGGUGGAAACGCCGAGUUUCGGUGCGUCGUUGGCACUCAUUCCCUGGGUGGUCAGCACUUUGUUACGUGGUACAAAGACGGCAGACAACUUCCAGGCACUGGCAGACUGUCCGAAGUGCUUCAGCUCAACGGUAUCGGUCGGGAAGACAGAGGGAUGUACCAAUGUGUCGUCAGGAGGUCGGAAGGCGACACCGCUCAGGCCACUGCGGAGCUUCAAUUGGGCGACGCUCCGCCGGUUCUGCUGUACUCAUUUAUAGAGCAGACGCUGCAGCCUGGACCAGCUGUAUCACUGAAAUGUUCGGCAGCAGGAAAUCCGACACCUCAAGUAGCCUGGGCUUUGGAUGGAUUUCCACUACCAACAAACGGAAGGUCCGUAAUUGGGCAGUACGUCACGGUCCACGGAGACGUGAUAUCCCAUGUAAACAUAAGUCACGUGAUGGUUGAAGACGGUGGUGAAUAUUCGUGCACAGCCGAGAACCGGGCGGGUAAAACGACGCACGCAGCUCGACUCAAUGUUUACGGCCUCCCCUACAUUCGCAUGAUCCCGAAGGUAACCGCGGUCGCUGGUGAAAGUUUUCGGCUCAAGUGUCCCGUCGCUGGAUAUCCGAUCGAGGAAAUCAAGUGGGAACGUGGAGGAAGAGAGCUUCCCGAUGAUCUAAGACAGAAGGUACUUCUCGAUGGGACCCUUAUCGUUUCCACCGUCCAGAAGCAGGGCGACUCUGGUGUCUACACUUGCUCGGCCAGGAACAAACAGGGACACAGUGCACGGAGGUCCGGAGAAGUCGCAGUCAUCGUACCCCCUAUAAUUGAGCCAUUUACCUUCCAAGAGGGACUCUCUGAGGGGAUGCGCACGCGGACGGUGUGCGGGGUCGCGGCGGGAGAUCCUCCCCUGACCAUAUCCUGGCUGAAGGACGGGCAAAAUCCCUUCCAGCUUCCCCCAAAGCUCGCAUCCGCCGCCAAUGUUUCCCAGCUCGAUCCCUAUUCCAGUCUCUUAAGUAUCUCGAGUCUUUCGGCCGAGCAUUCCGGCGACUAUACCUGCGUCGCCGCGAACCCCGCCGCCGAGGUCAGGUACACGGCCAAGCUACAGGUAAAAGUUCCUCCUCGAUGGAUAGUCGAGCCGACCGACAUCAGCGUCGAGCGAAACAAGCACGUCGCCCUUCACUGUCAGGCCCAAGGCGUCCCGACGCCCACCAUCGUCUGGAAGAAGGCCACGGGAAGUAAAUCCGGGGAGUACGAAGAGCUGCGUGAGAGAAUGUACACAAAACUUUUAACGAACGGUACGUUAUUGCUCCAGCAUGUAAAGGAAGACCGAGAGGGUUUUUAUCUCUGUCAAGCAAGCAACGGUAUUGGUAGCGGAAUCGGGAAGGUGGUUCAGCUCAAGGUCAACUCCUCUCCAUAUUUUGCGGCUCCUUCUCGUCUGGUAACGAUAAAGAAGGGCGAUACCGCGACGCUACACUGCGAAGUCCAUGGCGAUAAACCGGUCACUGUCACUUGGUUGAAGGGUGGAAAGGUCGAGCUCAAUCCUUCGACGAAUUAUCGCGUCACUGUAAAGCAAGAGAUAACGCCGGACGGCGUCGUGGCUCAGCUUCAGAUCGCUUCAGCCGAAGCUUCGGACAAUGGAGCUUACUUUUGUCAAGCCAGCAAUCUUUUCGGACGCGAUCAGCAGCUGGUGCAGCUUCUGAUUCAAGAACCUCCUCAAGCACCCAACGCCCUCGAAACUGCAAUGGUCGCCAGCAGGAGCAUUAAUGUCAAAUGGCAGCACAAGGCUCAGGACACUGGUGAAGUCACGAAGUACAUACUUCAGUACAAAGAAGGAGAAGGAGGAGUUUGGCAGCAGCAGGAACUGUCCGGACCUCCGUUGCCCUACGCAGCCCUUAUUGACGAUCUGAAGCCAGCGACUCGCUACUACAUUCGCGUUAUCGCCGAAGGACCCGCAGGGCGAUCUGCUCCGUCCCCAGAUCUGGUUGUGAGAACGGAACCCCAGAGGCCAGCGGGUCCUCCGAUCAAUCUGGCCGCCAGGCCCGUAUCUGCUACCGAAAUCCUCGUCACCUGGGGACCACCGAUACCGGAACUCAGGCACGGAGAUAUACAGAGCUUCAAUAUUGGCUACAGAGAAACCAGCUCGGGUAACCCGGCCUACAACUUCACCCCGGUUUCCGGCGAUGGUGAGGAAGGAGGGGGUGAACUUCAUCUCACUGGAUUGAGGGCAUACACACGUUACACAUUGGUAGCCCAGGCCGUCAACCAGGUUGGCUCAGGUCCGCUGUCAGAGCCACUAACCACCCAGACGUUGGAAGACGUGCCCAGCAUGCCGCCGGAAGACGUUCGCUGCGCUGCCCUCUCAUCCCAGUCGUUACAAGUCUCAUGGCAGCCGCCCCCCAGUUCUCAUUCCAAUGGAAUCGUUCAGGGGUAUAAAUUGUACUACGAGCCAGUCAUGGAGGAGACUUGGCGAGGAGUUGACGAGAUGGAGGUUCGAAAAACAAGCGCUUUAACAACGGUUCUGACCAAUUUAAGACGCUACGCAAAUUACAGCAUGCACGUACUCGCCUACACGAGGAUAGGCGACGGUGUUGCGUCCCCGAUGACUUAUUGUCACACCGAAGAAGAUGCCCCUGGGAGUCCCGCGGACAUAAAAGUGGUUGUAAGCUCGCCGCAAGCUCUUUUCAUAUCGUGGUUACCGCCCUUGGAGCCAAACGGAGUGAUCACUAAGUACAAUUUAUACACCAGGGUGGUGAACGGUCGUGAGGAACUCAACCAUGGUAAGAAACCGCUCUCUGCCGCGGACACUUUUUUCGAGGCAACGGACCUCGAGCAGCACGUCGAAUACCAGUUUUGGGUGACGGCGAGCACCAGAGUGGGCGAGGGUCAGAGUUCACGAGUAGCUGCUCAAGUGCCUUCGAACCGAGUGCCUGCCCGCAUCACGUCAUUUGGCGGCCACGUCGUGAAGCCCUGGAGAGGAUCGGCCACUCUGGACUGCAACGCGGUUGGCGACCCUAGACGAGAGUGGCUCAAGGGUGUCGAGCAGAUUUACCCCGGUGCUAAUCACAACAUUCAGAUACUUCAGACCGGCGAAUUGGUCCUGUCAAGCUUACAGACUCAAGAAAGUGGCAACUACACUUGUCAAGUCGAAAACGCCCAGGGUAGCGAUCGUCUACAGUACAUACUCACCGUCCAAGUUCCACCCAGCACGCCGGUACUCUACGUGACGAGCUCAACGUCUAGCAGCAUACUGCUUCACUGGAAACCAGGAAACACAGGCGGAGCUCCAUUGACCGGAUACACCCUUCACUAUCGUAGAACUCACGGGAAUCUCGACGAGCUCCAACUCUCCCGUCGAGCCACCAGCUACGAGCUCAAAGGUCUACUGUGUGGAAACGCGUACCAUCUUUAUCUGACAUCUCACAACAAACUGGGCAGCAGCCCGGCCUCGCCUACGCUUUCGGUUCGUACUCAGGGUCAAGCACCGGGUAUUCCAAGAGCAGACGCUUUUCUGGCACCCAAUUCAACCACCCUGGCUCUCCGUCUUCACGUCUGGCCCGACAACGGCUGUCCGAUUUCUUACUUCGUUAUUCAGUACAGGCCGAUCAGCGAGUUUCAUUGGACGUUGGUCUCGAACAGCGUUAAGAUGAAUCGGAGAUUCGUCAUACCUAAUCUCUCGCCUAGUUCGGUCUACCAGCUAAAGGUCGAGGCCUAUAACGUCGCUGGCAGCAGUCAGGCCGAGUUCACUUUCGUCACUCUCACUAAAGACGGGGAACCACCACCGCCAGAGCUCUCGAAACGAGGCAUUAUCCCGAUCCCCUUUUAUGCCGACCUUAAAGUCAUGCUACCGCUGAUCGUCGCUACUGUUGCUCUUCUUGCAGCCGCUGCAACAAUCGCUUUUUGCUGGAGAAACAGAUACUUGGGGGACGGAGUCCAGAGGCCCAUGAAGGAGACUCAGGAGAAUCAGCAGAACGCGGAGGCGCAACGCGAACGUUACUACGCAACAAUUCACAAAGUCGCCCUACAGCAAGCGGCGAACACGGCAGGAGGACCUGACAAGAUCCCAGACAGCGGAGGACAUCUCGCCGUACGCUACGUUCCAGCUUUCGGAAGGUGGCGGGGCAAGCCUGGGAGGCCUGGGCGGUGCCGCCGAAGCAUCAGCGGCCGGACUUCACCCCAACAACACCCUACUUCACAGCUUCAUGUACCACGAACACGCAAUGACAGAGGGAUGCGCCAGUCCACCGCCUGCAACGUAUCAGUACUUGAAGAGUAUGAAGAGUGUAUCGUCGAGGAGACGCCAACAGAGGAAGCAGCAAGCGCCGGGCGACGUGGAGAGCGACGAAAGCGAGUCUGACCCAGACCAGCUGACCAGCUCCAGAACCGAGUCGUCGAAUCAGCUGGAUGCCGGCAAGCUCAAGCACAUUCGGGCUGUUUCAGACUUCAUCUACCACGGAACGUCGAGCACCUCGUCGGAUAUUUCGCCAAUGUCCGAACAGAAGUCGCUUCCUCGAAGAGGAAGAUCUAG
rnacentral:misc_RNA from 1 species